GUAGGGAAUAUUGGGCAAUGGUCGGAAGACUGACCCAGCCAUGCCGCGUGCAGGAAGACGGCCCUCUGGGUUGUAAACUGCUUUUAUCUGGGAAGAAAAAGGCCAUGCGUGGCAAAUUGCCGGUACCAGAUGAAUAAGCACCGGCUAACUCCGUGCCAGCAGCCGCGGUAAUACGGAGGGUGCGAGCUUUGUCCGGAUUUAUUGGGUUUAUAGGUUGCGUAGGCGGCUGAUUAAGUCAGCGGUGAAAGACUUCGGCUUAACCGGAGCAGUGCCGUUGAUACUGGUUGGCUUGAGUGUCGGAGGGGUACAUGGAAUUGAUGGUGUAGCGGUGAAAUGCAUAGAUACCAUCAGGAACACCGAUAGCGAAGGCAUUGUACUGGCCGACAACUGACGCUGAUGCACGAAAGUGUGGGGAUCGAACAGGAUUAGAUACCCCGGUAGUCC
rnacentral:rRNA from 1 species